GCAAGUAUAGUUUAAUAAAAGCACUAGAUUGUGAAUCUAAUGAUAGAAACCAAAGAUUUCUUACUUGCC
rnacentral:tRNA from 1 species